rnacentral:rRNA from 1 species
AGAGUUUGAUCCUGGCUCAGAUUGAACGCUGGCGGAAUGCUUUACACAUGCAAGUCGAACGGCAGCACGGGAGCUUGCUCCUGGUGGCGAGUGGCGAACGGGUGAGUAAUGCGUCGGAACGUACCGAGUAAUGGGGGAUAACGCAGCGAAAGUUGUGCUAAUACCGCAUACGCCCUGAGGGGGAAAGUGGGGGAUCGCAAGACCUCACGUUAUUCGAGCGGCCGACGUCUGAUUAGCUAGUUGGUGGGGUAAAGGCCUACCAAGGCGACGAUCAGUAGCGGGUCUGAGAGGAUGAUCCGCCACACUGGGACUGAGACACGGCCCAGACUCCUACGGGAGGCAGCAGUGGGGAAUUUUGGACAAUGGGGGCAACCCUGAUCCAGCCAUUCCGCGUGAGUGAAGAAGGCCUUCGGGUUGUAAAGCUCUUUCAGCAGGAACGAAACGGUGCGCUCUAACAUAGCGUGCUAAUGACGGUACCUGCAGAAGAAGCACCGGCUAACUACGUGCCAGCAGCCGCGGUAAUACGUAGGGUGCGAGCGUUAAUCGGAAUUACUGGGCGUAAAGCGUGCGCAGGCGGAUUGUUAAGCAAGACGUGAAAUCCCCGGGCUUAACCUGGGAAUGGCGUUUUGAACUGGCAGUCUAGAGUGUGUCAGAGGGGGGUGGAAUUCCACGUGUAGCAGUGAAAUGCGUAGAGAUGUGGAGGAACACCAAUGGCGAAGGCAGCCCCCUGGGAUAACACUGACGCUCAUGUACGAAAGCGUGGGUAGCAAACAGGAUUAGAUACCCUGGUAGUCCACGCC